UAUAUAUAUAUAUAUAUAUAUAUAUUUAAAAAAAACAGAAAAUCAAGAAAUAUUGAUGAACCACAAUUGACGUACAUCAAUUAUCAUUUAUUAAUUCAAUA